CCUUCUUACUUCCCUGCUGGCUUUGGCCAGCUGGGUGCCUCCCAGCCUACAGAGAGCCUGCAGGGCCCGAGAAGGCGCGGCCCCUUUAAGAGGCUGGCCUUGGGCGGCCCCCACGCUGAUUGGCGGAGCUCAGAGCCACGUGACUUUCGGCAGCGGCCGCGGAGGUCUGGCUCCCGCUGCGGUGCUGGAGCUCCCGGGGGAUCCCUGGGAACCCCCGCCGGUUGACACAUGUGCGUGAGGACAUACCUGGUGGGCUUCACCUUUUGUACCUGUUACCUGGCUUCAUACCUCACAAACAAGGAGGAGGAAGCUGACCUUGGAUUUGGUACAGUGGGCUGGACACGAAGCCGAAGUGGUGAUGCAAGGUCCAGAAUGAAAAUAUCAGGGGAAAGUUGGGAAGAACAUACUGAAAUAUUAUGUCCUCUCUGUCUUGAAAUUUACCUACCCAACAUUAUUCCAAGGGUGGCAGACAUUAAUUGGUGGCCUUUUGCUUCAUGUGUCGUGGAAACUGGGCUGGACAGAGAUCAACAGCAGCUCAAGGUCAUUCCUGUGUUUCUCACUUUGCACAAUGUAGCUGAAGUUAUCAUCUGUGGGCACCAGAAGUGUUUUCAGAAAGAGAAAACUUCUCCUGCAAAGAUCUGUAGCGCCCUUUUGCUCCUGGCCGCGGCAGGAUGCCUUCCCUUUAACGACCCCCAGUUUGAUCCAGAUGGAUAUUUCUGGGCUGUAAUUCAUGUAUUCUGUGUGGGGGCUUAUAAAAUACUACAGAAGUCUCAGAAGCCUAAUGCGUUAAGCGACAUUGACCAGCAGUACUUAAACUAUAUAUUCAGUGUGGUGCUCCUGGCGUUUGCAUCUCACCCCACAGGUGAUCUCCUCAGCGUUCUGGACUUCCCGUUCCUGUAUUUCUACAGAUUCCAUGGCAGCUGCUGUGCCAGUGGAUUCUUAGGAUUCUUUCUCAUGUUCAGCACUGUGAAGCUAAAAAGCCUUAUGGCACCAGGACAGUGUGCAGCCUGGAUUUUUUUUGCUAAGGUGCUCACAGCAGGUUUAUCAGUAUUGCUGUUUGAUGCGAUCCUGACCAGUGCGGCCGUGGGGUGGAUUCAGAAAGCGUCACCUUAAUGAUGAUAGGACUCCGGGAUGCCUGCAUGAUUUCAUACCCAUCAACCCUCCUUAGCAAGAAAGCACCAGACAGCUUUGUGGGGAACCCUCCUCCUGUCUUUCCAUCAUUGAACCUCUACCUGCUCAGCAGAAGCCUGAGCUUCUUCUUGAAGGAAGCCUCCUGCUUGGCGGCCUUGGUGAACUCUUGCUGGUUUUCUCAGAGCGGAGGGGCUCCUGAAGACGAUGGGAGCGCAGAAAAAGUAGGCCCGCAGGCCGCCCGCACGGUCCCUGGGCUUCGGAGCUUUCUGUGGAGUGUGUCAGAAAGAAGAAAGCAAGGAGGGAGACCACCGCUCCUCAGGGCGUCGGGGAGGACUCUUUCUGAGGGUCUCUGAGCUGCCUCGGAGAAUGUGCUGUGUCUUUUCACGCGGAGGGGCUCCCUCGCGUCCUGUGGAACCUGCACGCCCACUUGUGCAGAAACAGACGCAAGAUCUCCCUGUGUGCGGAUGGGGACGCUCACCUGGAUCAACCUGCGAGCCUUUUAUUAAACGCCCUUCACCUAACACUGCAGGGCUGCCCGAAGUAUUUUGUUGCAUUGUUUUGUUUUGUGUUUUUACCUCUUUGCAGGCUCUUCUGGACAUCCUUUCCUUGCUCUCAUGCUGACUUAUCUAGAGCCCCUACUUACCCUCUUAUGAACUCAGAGAAAAUUCCUGGUGGGGGCUUCCACUGGGGGCUGGGAUGGAGAUGGGGGGCUGAAUGGGAGUUCUGGGCCAGGUAAGAAGCCAGCAAGACACUAUUACUCCAGAGUGAGUGCCGAAGUCUUUUUGUGGUUGUGUGUUGUGUUGUAUUGAAUUUUGCACACUCUUUUUUGCCCACAGUUAGAUAAACUUGGUACUAAGUGGUCAUCAGAAGGAAUAGCAUUUAUAAGCACUGGGCAGUGACAAACACAAACACAUCUGUAUGCACAUACAUAUUUAUAUUCAUAUUCCUUAAUGCUUUUGAUCCAUUUAAUUCCCUGAUAUCUCAGAGAAGUUUCAGAUCAUUGGACACUGAAGUUUGUUUUUCAGUCCUGAUCAAAAUUGAGUUGCAACUCUAAACCUCGCCUCUAAGGGGUCAGAAGAAAUGCAUUUGCAUUGAAAUGGUCAUUUGAUUCUGAAUCCACAACGAAGGUUUAAGAAAACAAUGUCUAACUGCAAAUAUUUCUGCUCCUAGUAGGUGUUUUGAAUACCUUACUUCUCUGCAGGUGUCAGGGUUGGUCAUUUUGAGGUGUAGAAGGUAGUGAAGUCCAGUGAGUCCUCUCCGGGCAGGCAACCAGGCCCUGCAAAGCUGGAUACUCGUGUCCCUGGGGGAGAACUGUCCUCAGCAUCUGGAAAAUAAGCCUUGUUCAUCCUGUGAAAAAUCAGGUCAACUCAGACUGUGCUCAUUCUUUCUGCAGGUUUUCUCCAACUCGUUGAAAAAAGCAACAGAAAAUGAAACAGAUAGGAAUUGACUAGUACGUUUGGAACUUGAGUACCUUAAAUUCAAUUCUUUGUCUUUUCCUGCUCUCUGCUUGUCAUUUAAGGUGAAGAUGUUCAGAGUGAGACCUUUACAUAUAUAUAUUUAUAUAAUUUCAAUUUGCUUUUUGUCUUUCAUCUGAGGCAUCGAACUUUCUAAAGGCAAGGCCAAACAAAAAUCUGAGUUUAGCAUUUUCCUUGUUCUUCUGCUCCCACAAAACUCUCUCUGUACAUUUGAGGGCAGUUCUCCUCCAUUUGCAGAAAGUGGCAUCUGUCCAAAUGUCAUGCUAUGCCUGCCUUUCCACAUGCUAUUCAAGCAAACGGAGAUUCUCAGGCUGGAAAGAACCAUGCACAGUUUAUAAGCCCUGAGCCCUGUUUCCGGCAGGACUGACUUCAGAAACUUUGGCUGCAAAGUUUUAGACAUUUUUUUAAAAGAAUCUCUAGCAAGGAUUUUUUGUUGUUGUUUCUGUUUGUUCGAUUUUUUUUUAAAUUGCAUUCCAGAGUCCCGUUGUUUUUAAAAUCUCAGGCCUUUUCUUACUUGACACAAGGCAGAGGAUGAGGUUUUUCUUCCAUAUAACAUCCUGUUUUCUUCAGCUGCCAUCUCUUCUUGGGCUUUUUUCUGCAAGUCUUAACCACCACCUUUCAUGGCCAAGUUCCCAUGCCCCACUCUGAAUGCAGAGUGAGCCCAGAGGUCUGUAAAUCAGGGGCUAGCCCAGAUAACUGCAGGCGCCUUAGCGCUCAUUUUCCUGGGCCCCGGGCCCCCAGGGAGGGAAUCUCCAGCUACCCCAGGCCUCCCUGUUACCCAAAUGAUCAGUUGGGAUAUGUCCUGUCUGGGUCCUGAUGACCUUAGGCCUUGCUGGCCCCACACCAAAGCCAGAGUGUGGUCUUUUUUUAUUUGUACAAAUAAAUAGUAUGCUUUCUUUCAAGAGAGGCAAGAUUUUGUAUGAUUGUUAUCAAUAAUCUGCUAUAGAUAUAAAGAAAAAUAAACGUUUGUUUUUUUUUUU